rnacentral:tRNA from 1 species
GCCCGGCUGGCCCAACGGGAGAGGCGGCGCGCUUAGAACGCGCAGGUUGGGGGUUCGAAUCCCUCGCCGGGUA